rnacentral:rRNA from 1 species
UACGUAGGGUGCAAGCGUUUGUCCGGAAUUAUUGGGCGUAAAGAGCUCGUAGGCGGUUUGUCGCGUCUGCUGUGAAAACCCGAGGCUCAACCUCGGGCCUGCAGUGGGUACGGGCAGACUAGAGUGCGGUAGGGGAGAUUGGAAUUCCUGGUGUAGCGGUGGAAUGCGCAGAUAUCAGGAGGAACACCGAUGGCGAAGGCAGAUCUCUGGGCCGUAACUGACGCUGAGGAGCGAAAGCAUGGGGAGCAAACAGG